UACAGAGGUCUCAAGCGUUGUUCGGAUUCAUUGGGCGUAAAGGGUGCGUAGGCGGCGCGGUAAGUCGGGUGUGAAAUCUUGGGGCUUAACUCCGAAACUGCAUUCGAUACUGCCGUGCUUGAGGACUGGAGAGGAGACUGGAAUUUACGGUGUAGCGGUGAAAUGCGUAGAUAUCGUAAGGAAGACCAGUGGCGAAGGCGGGUCUCUGGACAGUUCCUGACGCUGAGGCACGAAGGCCAGGGGAGCAAACGGG
rnacentral:rRNA from 1 species